rnacentral:rRNA from 1 species
UAGAGUUUGAUCAUGGCUCAGAUUGAACGCUGGCGGCAUGGAUUAGGCAUGCAAGUCGAACGAAGUUAUUAAGCUUGCUUUUUAACUUAGUGGCGCAAGGGUGAGUAACACGUGAAUAAUCUACCUAAAACACUGAGAUAGCCUCUGGAAACGGAGAUUAAUAUUGGAUGACAUAUAUUUAUCGCAUGAUUUAUAUAUUAAAGAUUUAUUGGUUUUAGAUGAGUUCGCGUCCCAUUAGCUAGUUGGUAAGGUAAUAGCUUACCAAGGCUUUAACGGGCAGGUGGUCUGAGAGGAUGGUCACCCACACUGGAACUGAGACACUGUCCAGACUCCUACGGGAGGCUGCAGUCGAGAAUCUUCCGCAAUGGACGAAAGUCUGACGGAGCNAUGCCGCGUGAUUGAUGAAGGCCUUCGGGUUGUAAAGAUCUGUCACCUAGGACGAAACCAAUGACGGUACUAGGAGAGGAAGUGACGGCUAACUACGUGCCAGCAGCCGCGGUAAUACGUAGGUCACAAGCGUUAAUCGGAUUUAUUGGGCGUAAAGGGUCCGCAGGGUGUUUAUUAAGUUUGAUGUGAAAUCUCAAGGCUCAACCUUGAAACCGCAUUGAAAACUGAUAGACUAGAAUUUAAGAGAGGAAAGUGGAAUUUUUGGUGUAGCGAUGGAAUGCUUAGAUAUCAAAAGGAACAUCGAUGGCGAAGGCAGCUUUCUGGCUAUAAAUUGACCCUCAGGGACGAAGGCGUAGGUAGCAAACAGGAUUAGAUACCCUGGUAGUCUACGCGGUAAACGGUCUAUACUAGUUGUUAGGAGAUUUGACCCUCUUAGUGACUUAGCUAACGCGUUAAGUAUAGCGCCUGGGGAGUACGGUCGCAAGAUUAAAACUCAAAGGAAUUGACGGGGACCCGCACAAGCGGUGGAGCAUGUGGCUUAAUUCGAGGCAACGCGAAGAACCUUACCUGGUCUUGACAUAUAAAUGAAUAAAGUAGAGAUAUUUUAGUCCUUUUAGGACAUUUAUACAGGUGCUGCAUGGCUGUCGUCAGCUCGUGCUGUGAAGUGUUCGGUUAAGUCCCGGCAACGAGCGCAACCCACGUUGUUAGUUACUAACAUGUAAUGAUGAGAACUCUAACAAGACUGCCUAUGCAAGUAGGAGGAAGGUGUGGAUGACGUCAAGUCAGUAUGGCCCUUACGACCAGGGCUGCACACGUGCUACAAUGAGUGUUACAGAAAGAAGCAAUACUGCGAAGUGGAGCAAAUCUAUAAAAGCACUCUCAGUUCGGAUUGGAGUCUGCAACUCGACUCCAUGAAGUUGGAAUCGCUAGUAAAGGCGUAUCAGCUACGACGCCUUGAAUACGUUCCCGGGUCUUGUACACACCGCCCGUCACAUCAUGGGAGCUUCCUGCACCCGAAGUCACUGUCCUAACUGUUUUACAGAGGGAGGUGCCUAAGGUGUGGUCGGUGACUGGGAUGAAGUCGUAACAAGGUAACCGUA